AAAUACGGUUCAUAAUGUCAACGUCUGCCUUAAGUUAUUCUAAUUUUACAAUUCUAAAAUUUUACAAAACAUUACAAUUACAACAGCACUCAAAAUAUGGUUCACAACAUCCAUCUUAAGUUAUUCACAACAUUGCCAGUACAUAGACCCAGAUACAUAUUGCCACACACCCAUAUUGACAAGUCUAUACUCCAGCAACGACAUAGGGUUCUAUUGGAUACUGGCCAUACCACCUACAAUGCAUGGAUAGCACACCACUUCCGUGCUGGUGGCAGCACUAUAGGAUCAUUACUGUUAAUGAUAUCGUGGCUUUUCUCGGUCUCUGUUUUCUACCGUACUGGUGCCCUGUGGUC
rnacentral:lncRNA from 1 species